GUCCUUUUGAUAAUUCUAGGUGGUUAAGAAUUACAAACAUAGAAAAGCUGGAGUGGCAGUGACUGCUAAGGAAUCACUUCUCCGGCCCCCGCACCCGCUCUGCUUUUCUCUUCUUUUCCAGGGAAGAUCAAGGCUUUGGUUGGGAAAGACCGAGAACUGCACUCAGCCUGCAGCCAAGUCAGAGCCCCUGCCCAGCAUGGAGGCCUCAAGUUACACUGUGAUCCUGAGAGUACCUAGUACAUCUGUGUGUGCAGAGUUGAAAAUGCCUUCUGAAUAAAGUCAUUGUUUUUUAAUCACCAAAGAAGAAUAACCUCCUGGGACUUCAAUAUCCAGCAUGACCUUAUGAGCCACAUUGAAGACGAGCCUGGCCUCCUGAGCUUCACUGUCAUCCCAAACACUCACCUUGGACCGUCGAAUUACAAAGAAAUCGUCUUCUUGUUGACUAUACUGUUGUUGACUAUGCUGUUGAACCGUUGAUAUAUAUUAAUUACAGAUAUAGAUAUUUUGAUAUAUUAGUGAGACUUACCCUAAUCCUAAUUAAGAGAAGCAUUUAGCCAAAAUCCAUUCUCAGUGUACCUGUGGGGAUGUUUUUUUUUCUUCCCCCUAACAUUUAAUCUGACUAUGGGGCAUGGUUAUUUGUCUUUGUUGUUGUUAUUCUGUAGCAUCCAAACAACCUUCCUUCUUUAAAGG